GACGAACGCUGGCGGCGUGCUUAACACAUGCAAGUCGAGCGGAAAGGCCCUUUCGGGGGUACUCGAGCGGCGAACGGGUGAGUAACACGUGAGUAAUCUGCCCUGGACUCUGGGAUAGCCACCGGAAACGGUGAUUAAUACCGGAUAUGACACCUUGCUGCAUGGUGGGGUGUGGAAAGUUUUUUCGGUCCAGGAUGUGCUCGCGGCCUAUCAGCUUGUUGGUGAGGUAAUGGCUCACCAAGGCUUUGACGGGUAGCCGGCCUGAGAGGGUGACCGGUCACACUGGGACUGAGACACGGCCCAGACUCCUACGGGAGGCAGCAGUGGGGAAUAUUGGACAAUGGGCGGAAGCCUGAUCCAGCAACGCCGCGUGAGGGAUGACGGCCUUCGGGUUGUAAGCCUCUUUCAGUACCGACGAAGCGAAAGUGACGGUAGGUACAGAAGAAGGACCGGCCAACUACGUGCCAGCCGCCGCCGUAAUAC
rnacentral:rRNA from 1 species